GGGGCCGUUUUGGUUUUGACAGCAAAGUUCUUUGUAAGUGUAAGCAUGUACUGCGUUGCGUAAUUAGCAGUUAAAUCUGAAUACGAAAACUUUAAAUGGCAAUACUUCGUAUGCCAUGGCUGCCUAAUCAGUGAUUAGAUAGUCAUUUGGGCCGCAGCACAGGAUUGCCUGUUUCCAGAUGCCGCCGCCGACUCAACAAACAAAACAGGUUGCUGCAGCAGUAUGAUGUUACUGUUGCUUAAGAUAAACAUCUAAGGAAAUCGUUGGUUUGUUAUGUUCCGGCUGUUUCCCUACAAUUAAUGCAUAAAUAAACAUGUAGAAAGCUUACGAUGGGUUUGUUUGGACACCGGUUCGAGCCCGGUCGGCUCCACAU
rnacentral:tmRNA from 1 species